rnacentral:rRNA from 1 species
ACCCGCUGAAUUUAAGCAUAUCAAUAAGCGGAGGAAAAGAAACCAACAGGGAUUGCCUCAGUAACGGCGAGUGAAGCGGCAACAGCUCAAAUUUGAAAUCUGGCCUCACGGUCCGAGUUGUAAUUUGUAGAGGAUGCUUUUGGCGAGGUGCUUUCCGAGUUCCCUGGAACGGGACGCCAUAGAGGGUGAGAGCCCCGUACGGUAAGACCACCGAGCCUCUGUAAAGCUCCUUCGACGAGUCGAGUAGUUUGGGAAUGCUGCUCUAAAUGGGAGGUGUACGUCUUCUAAAGCUAAAUACCGGCCAGAGACCGAUAGCGCACAAGUAGAGUGAUCGAAAGAUGAAAAGCACUUUGAAAAGAGGGUUAAAAAGUACGUGAAAUUGUUGAAAGGGAAGCAUUCAUGACCAGACUUGGGCUUGGUUGAACAUCCGGCGUUCUCGCCGGUGCACUCUGCCAGUCCAGGCCAGCAUCAGUUUGCCCCGGGGGACAAAGGCGGUGGGAAUGUGGCUCUCUUCGGGGAGUGUUAUAGCCCGCCGUGUAAUGCCCUGGGGUGGACUGAGGAACGCGCCUCGGCACGGAUGCUGGCGUAAUGGUCAUCAAUGACCCGUCUUGAAACACGGACCAAGGAG